rnacentral:rRNA from 1 species
AUGAACGCUGGCGGCGUGCUUCACACCUGCAAGUCGAACGGGAUCCAAGGAGCGUUUUUCGUUUUUUGGUGAGAGUGGCGAACGGGUGAGUAACACGUGAGUAACCUGUCCUUUUCUUUGGGAUAAGCUCCUGAAAGGGUGUUUAAUACCUUAUGUUCUGUCUGCCUCGCAUGGGGUGGGUGGGAAAGAUUUUUUCGGUGAAGGGUGGGCUCGCGGUCUAUCAGCUUGUUGGUGGGGUGAUGGCUUACCAAGGCUUUGACGGGUAGCCGGCCUGAGAGGGGGGUCGGUCACAUUGGGACUGAGAUACGGCCCAGACUCCUGCGGGAGGCAGCAGUGGGGGAUAUUGCACAAUGGGCGCAAGCCUGAUGCAGCGACGCCGCGUGGGGGAUGAAGGCCUUCGGGUUGUAAACUUCUUUUGCUCUGAACAAGGCGCAUCUGUGGGGUGUGUUGAGUGUAGGGGUUGAUUAGCGCCGGCUAACUACGUG